AAUUGUUCGCAAUGGGCGCAAGCCUGACGACGCAACGCCGCGUGGAGGAUGAAGAUUUUCGGAUCGUAAACUCCUGUCGAAUGGGACGAACAGAUUGCGGGUUAACAGCCCGCGAUCCUGACGGUACCGUUAAAGGAAACCCCGGCUAACUCCGUGCCAGCAGCCGCGGUAAUACAGAGGGGGCAAGCGUUGUCCGGACUGACUGGGCGUAAAGCGCACGCAGGCGGUUGUGGGCGUCGGUGCUGAAAGUCCACUGCUUAACAGUGGGAUGCGUGCCGAUACGCCAUAACUGGAGCGAUGCAGAGGCCAGUGGAAUUGCCGGUGUAGUGGUGAAAUGCGUAGAGAUCGGCAGGAACACCCAAGGGGAAGCCAGCUGGCUGGGCAUUUGCUGACGCUCAUGUGCGACAGCGUGGGGAGCGAAC
rnacentral:rRNA from 1 species